UGCGUAGAAAUUUGCCUUGAAGUGGGGGAGUAGCCCGGACGAAAUACCGGAUUAAUACCGCAUGCGCUCUACGGAGCAAAGCGGGCCUCUUCUUGAAAGCUCGCGCUUUGAGAUAAGUCUACGUCGGAUUAGCUUGUUGGUAGGGUAAUGGCCUACCAAGGCGACGAUCCGUAGCUGGUUUGAGAGGAUGAUCAGCCACACUGGGACUGAGACACGGCCCAGACUCCUACGGGAGGCAGCAGUGGGGAAUAUUGGACAAUGGGCGCAAGCCUGAUCCAGCAAUGCCGCGUGUGUGAAGAA
rnacentral:rRNA from 1 species